rnacentral:rRNA from 1 species
CCUACGGGCGGCAGCAGUGAGGAAUAUUGGUCAAUGGACGCGAGUCUGAACCAGCCAAGUAGCGUGAAGGAUGACUGCCCUAUGGGUUGUAAACUUCUUUUAUAUGGGAAUAAAAUGUUCCACGUGUGGGAUUUUGUAUGUACCAUAUGAAUAAGGAUCGGCUAACUCCGUGCCAGCAGCCGCGGUAAUACGGAGGAUCCGAGCGUUAUCCGGAUUUAUUGGGUUUAAAGGGAGCGUAGGUGGAUUGUUAAGUCAGUUGUGAAAGUUUGCGGCUCAACCGUAAAAUUGCAGUUGAAACUGGCAGUCUUGAGUACAGUAGAGGUGGGCGGAAUGCGUGGUGUAGCGGUGAAAUGCUUAGAUAUCACGAAGAACUCCGAUUGCGAAGGCAGUUCACUGGACUGCAACUGACACUGAGGCUCGAAAGUGUGGGUAUCAAACAGGAUUAGAUACCCGAGUAGUC